GAUGAACGCUGGCGGCGUGCCUAAUACAUGCAAGUCGAGCGAACGGACGAGAAGCUUGCUUUUCUGAUGUUAGCGGCGGACGGGUGAGUAACACGUGGAUAACCUACCUAUAAGACUGGGAUAACUUCGGGAAACCGGAGCUAAUACCGGAUAAUAUUUUGAACCGCAUGGUUCAAAAGUGAAAGACGGUCUUGCUGUCACUUAUAGAUGGAUCCGCGCUGCAUUAGCUAGUUGGUAAGGUAACGGCUUACCAAGGCAACGAUGCAUAGCCGACCUGAGAGGGGGAUCGGCCACACUGGAACUGAGCCACGGUCCAGACUCCUACGGGAGGCAGCAGUAGGGAAUCUUCCGCAAUGGGCGAAAGCCUGACGGAGCAACGCCGCGUGAGUGAUGAAGGUCUUCGGAUCGUAAAACUCUGUUAUUAGGGAAGAACAUAUGUGUAAGUAACUGUGCACAUCUUGACGGUACCUAAUCAGAAAGCCACGGCUAACUACGUG
rnacentral:rRNA from 1 species